CUAAAAUAAAUCCCCGACCAUGUCUGUCCAGAGCAUUCUAAUGAAAUUAGACACACUGUAUCUGAAUUACUAUGAAUUUACCCACCGUACUUUUUACAUUGAAAUAAAAUAUAAAAUUUCCAAACGGUAAUUGUUCUAGGACGUGUCAAUGAAAAAACAUGCACUCAGCAUUGGGUAGCUGGACAAUCUAUGGUAAUGUUUGGAAUGUUUAUACCUUCAAACACCAAUCUGUACAAUCAAGGUUUCUAAUUAUGACCGGAAAUGUUUUUAAAAAUAAUGAGGUGGGAUACUUUUUCAACCUACUCCUGCUCAGACAAUGUAGAAGUUUCUUUCAUAGCAGCUGGUUAUCGGUGAACAGACAGGCGAAUUAAGAUUCCACAGGGCAUUAGACUGGUUAUUGCAUUGGGGGCCACAUUUCACCCAUGGUAAAUGAUAGUGAAUGGGGCAAAGCGUGGAGUUGUAUUUUCAUGCCACCCAGACCCUUGUCUCACCUCUGAGCACUGAGUUGCAAUCUUAUGAUUCAUCUGGUUGUGCAGAAUCUAUCCUUACUAGCCCAUGUGAUGGAUUGUCAUCAUUUGUGAUGGUUUUCAUUAAUAGAAACCCUGCAGCCUCUUCUAAAUGAUCAUCCAUGGAUUUCUUCCAUCUAAAUUCCCUCCUUAUUUGACCUGUGAAUGCUGUGAAGACCCACACCUGCUCUGUGGGACUGAAACAUGUGUACGUUGUUAUUUUAUCCUUGACAUGCUAAGAUGCAACUCCGUCUGCCAGGGACAAACUGUGAUAAGUGAUUGAACACUUUCCUUGGUCCAGCAAUGUACUCCCUGAUUACUCGACAGUGUUCACGCAUAUGUCUGUGUUCCUGAUAACUGAAAGAGACAAAAAAAUUAAUUUCUGAUCCUUUAUUUUAUAUGCCGCCUGAAACAAAGUCUAAAAUUAAAUCUUCAGUGUAUUAGACACAGUCUGAAAGUAACAGUUUUUAACAUCAUAUUGUCCAAACUGUUCUCUGACACUUUCUUUGUUAUUUGAUCAGUACCUGCUAACCUGCAAUCGUAAAGUGGAUCGCUUAUGCAAACACCCCCAAAGGUGACAACGGUUAGGGUCCAGUGGCCACAGGGUGCAAUGAAAGGUAGGCUUAACAGCCUGAAGUUAUCCCUUGUGACCACCUCCACCACCAUAUUCUUUCUGCAGACCUCGUUUGGCUCCUGGUGUUUCAUCUGUUAUGGGCCACGUCAGUCUAUAUUUGUGAAUAUGCACCGGAGUACAAAAACGAGGUCUGUGGAUGGUGCAAGACACCUGUCACUUGUGAUGUUUGCAUGGAUUGGGCAAAGAUUGAUGGUGGGGCUCCACCUUUCCUCAACUUUUGUGAACUUCAAGCUUGUCCAUAAGACAAAGUAGUCCCCUCGGAGUGUGUAAAUAUCUCUAUUAAAUACUGAGUACAGUGACCGUGCUGCUUUAAAUGGAUGCUUAUUAUACAUAAAAAUGCAAGAACAGCACAUGAAAAGUCAUUCAAAUGGAAUAAAAAAUAUAAAUGUAUGGAUUUGGUGAAGAUUGUGGAGAAAAAGCAGUGAAUUCCGCUCAGACCAGUCAUUAUGCUCACUUACCCUCCUAUAGCACUGCUGAACUUCUCCCAGUGCCAUGCCUUUGAGGUGCAACAAAGGUUUCAUGUAGUUUUAGUUCAAUCCUCAUCUUCUAGUAAAGUUGACAUCAUGAGCAGAGGACAUUUUGGAGAAAGAAAAUGAUAACACACAGGUCAGGAGGGGCAGAAAGUGUGAGUUCAUGGAACAAAAUAAAUCAUCUCAAUGACUUUCCUCCAAUAAGUGAGCACUUCAGGAGAACUUGGCAUAUGGACGGCAUUGAUUGGCAAUUGUGCCAGGCAGCCUGGUACCCUGGAAUGGAUGCUGCACAUCAUUGCUUCCAUUAAUGGAGUGCAUGCUGACUAUAUAGCUCGGCACAUCAUUGCUUCCAUUAAUGGGGUGCAUGCUGACUAUAUUGCUCGGCACAUCAUUGUUUCCAUUAAUGGAGUGCAUGCUGACUAUUUGGCACAUCAUUGCUUCCAUUAAUGGAGUGCAUGCUGACUAUAUGGCUCGGCACAUCAUUGCUUCCAUUAAUGGAGUGCAUGCUGACUAUAUGGCUCGGCAUAUCGUUGCUUCCAUUAAUGGAGUGCAUGCUGACUAUAUGGCUCGGCACAUCGUUGCUUCCAUUAAUGGAGUGCAUGCUGACUAUAUGGCUCGGCACAUCGUUGCUUCCAUUAAUGGAGUGCAUGCUGACUAUAUGGCUCGGCACAUCGUUGCUUCCAUUAAUGGAGUGCAUGCUGACUAUAUGGCUCGGCACAUCGUUGCUUCCAUUAAUGGAGUGCAUGCUGAC